rnacentral:rRNA from 1 species
UGGGGGAUAUUGCACAAUGGGCGCAAGCCUGAUGCAGCCAUGCCGCGUGUAUGAAGAAGGCCUUCGGGUUGUAAAGUACUUUCAGCGGGGAGGAAGGGAGUAAAGUUAAUACCUUUGCUCAUUGACGUUACCCGCAGAAGAAGCACCGGCUAACUCCGUG